rnacentral:rRNA from 1 species
GACGAACGCUGGCGGCGUGCUUAACACAUGCAAGUCGAACGAAGUGGCGAACGGGUGAGUAACGCGUAGUCAACCUGCCCUUCAGGGGGGGAAAACAGUUGAAAACGACUGCUAAUACCGCAUACGGAUGGAGUGGUUGGCGUGUGAUUAGCUAGUGGGAGGGGUAACGGCUCACCAAGGCGACGAUCAGUAGCUGGUCUGAGAGGAUGACCGGCCACACUGGCACUGAGACACGGUCCAGACUCCUACGGGAGGCAGCAGUGGGGAAUAUUGCGCAAUGGGCGCAAGCCUGAUGGAGCCAUGCCGCGUGAAUGAAGAAGGCCUUCGGGUUGUAAAGCACUUUUGGAGGGGAAGCGGUACCUGAACAGGAAGCCACGGCUAACUACGUGCCAGCAGCCGCGGUAAUAC